ACUAAUUUUUUUACAUUUUCUCCUUAAAUUUAAUUUAACAAUGUAAUGCAUAUUAAUCCUAUGUAAAAAGAAGUUUAGAGGAAACAAAAGUUACCCACUACUUAAUAUUCCUUGACGUUUAAGCUAAACCUUCCUUUAUCCUAAAGUCCUAACUAUGUCAUGACUUUAGGGAUAUAGUAAUCCUAUGCGAAUUAAUUUAUGUAAUGAUACCUAUAAUUAUAAAAGCAUCAAUAUGAGCUUUAUAGUGAUCUUUCAAAAUAAAACAUCCGUUGAAUUUUUCAGACUCAAUAGUAAAAGAAAAUUUCGUCUGACCAGAAUUUGAAUAUAUAUCAUCACGACUGAAAAUUAAAUAAAUUUAUCAACGGCUGAACCUAAUCGAAGAAAAUAGUUUGUUCAAAGACCCAAAAAAGUUAUAAAAACAUAACAAAAUAAAUAUUUAAGAGGAUUUGUAAAUUGAUGUGGAAAAUAGUAAAUAAGAAUACCUUGAUUUUUUGUCCAAAAAAUAAAUAAAAAAUACCUUGAUUAUCCGAGUGUUUUCUAAAAAUUGUAUGAAAUUCAAGUGCUAAUUUUAUUAUAUUUUAUCAAAAAAACUGUUAAUCUUAUUAAUAUGAUCAUGCACCAUCGCCUUCCAACUUUCAAAAU
rnacentral:sRNA from 1 species